rnacentral:lncRNA from 1 species
CCCAUCUCCCUUUCUAUAUUACUAGAUGUUGUUUGUGGGCAAGAGCUAGAGAUACUGGAACUAGUUCUGUUGUCCUUGAGAUGGUUUCGUAUGAAAGAACUAGUGACAGGAUAGGUGAAAUCAUUUUGGUGGUAUCUUUAACAAAGCAGGUAAAAUUUUCCAACUUGCCUUACAUAGAUCAAACAGUGUGGCCUGGUUUUGGUAGGAUCUUAGAAUUUAUUUUACAGAUAAGGAUACUGACACAUAAGGGCAUAAAGUGAUACAUGCCUAGUAAGAAUGAGAGGCAGAACUCGAACUCCAGUAUUCUAACCAUGAGUCCAGCCCAGCCUUGUAGUUUGAAAGAUAAAGGCGGCAGUCAUUCCAAGGCAGCCUGAGCCUCCCCAUGUAGUAGGCAGGGGACAACAUCAGGCUGCAGGUAAGACAAAUGAGGAAUGCUCAAAAGGCCCCACCAGUGGCUUUGUGAUGUAACUGGGCAUGCCUAGCCAAGCCCAGGUUACAGAAAUACCAAAUGCUAAGGUGGUUCAGAAGAGGGAGAGAACACAUCCAGCUGGGGAGGCAGAAUAGAGCAGAAGACCCCUAGACUCAUGGGCCCUAGGUUCCAAUUCUGACUUAUCACAUGCAGCUGCUGGGCAACCUUCAGCAAACGGGCCUCGAGAGCUUCAGCUUCCUCAAGUGCAAGAUGAGAAGUCUGGACUAGAUGACCUUGGGGUCCAUUUCAGCUCUAAAUCCCAGGAUAAAACGAUCAGGGUUAGGAGUUCCGCUGGUUACCAACAGUGUGCUAAGGUUGUACAAACCAAGAUGGAAGCUCAGCAUCCCUAGCAGUCCUCAGUAUAACCUGUUGAUAAGACUCACAGCUAAAAACAAGCCUGCAAGUUCUUUUGUUCAACAAAUGAUUAUAUAAAGAUAAAUAAUGAGCCUUCACUCCGUCUAAAGACCAACUGAUCUGCGCCUGACACACAGUAAGCACUUAAUAAAUGUUUGGUUGGUUAUUGAUGAUUUUGUUGA